AGUAAAUUGGUUAAGUUAGAAAGGGCGCACGGUGGAUGCCUUGGCACUAGGAGCCGAAGAAGGACGGGACUAACACCGAUAUGCUUUGGGGAGCUGUACGUAAGCGUUGAUCCAGAGAUUUCCGAAUGGGGGAACCCACUAUCUUUAGUCGGAUAGUAUCCUUACGUGAAUACAUAGCGUGAGGAAGGCAGACCCAGGGAACUGAAACAUCUAAGUACCUGGAGGAAGAGAAAGAAAAAUCGAUUUCCUGAGUAGCGGCGAGCGAAACGGAAAGAGCCCAAACCAAGAAGCUUGCUUCUUGGGGUUGUAGGACACUCUAUACGGAGUUACAAAAGAAAGUUAUAAAUGAAGCGGUCUGGAAAGGCCCGCCAAAGACGGUAACAGCCCGGUAGUUGAAAUAGCUUUCCCUCCAGAGUGGAUCCUGAGUACGGCGGAACACGUGAAAUUCCGUCGGAAUC
rnacentral:rRNA from 1 species